rnacentral:rRNA from 1 species
UACAUCCAAGUCGAGCGCGGGAAGCAAGCAGAACCUCUUCGGAGGUGACGCUUGUGGAACGAGCGGCGGACGGGUGAGUAACACGUGGGCAACCUGCCUGUAAGAUUGGGAUAACCCCGGGAAACCGGAGCUAAUACCGAAUAAUACUUUUUAUCACAUGGUAGAGAGUUGAAAGGCGGCUUUUGCUGUCACUUACAGAUGGGCCCGCGGCGCAUUAGCUAGUUGGUGGGGUAAUGGCCUACCAAGGCGACGAUGCGUAGCCGACCUGAGAGGGUGAUCGGCCACACUGGGACUGAGACACGGCCCAGACUCCUACGGGAGGCAGCAGUAGGGAAUCUUCCGCAAUGGACGAAAGUCUGACGGAGCAACGCCGCGUGAGUGAUGAAGGUUUUCGGAUCGUAAAACUCUGUUGUUAGGGAAGAACAAGUACCGUUCGAAUAGGACGGUGCCAUGACGGUACCUA